GACUCUCGGCAACGGAUAUCUCGGCUCUUGCAUCGAUGAAGAACGUAGCGAAAUGCGAUACUUGGUGUGAAUUGCAGAAUCCCGUGAACCAUCGAGUCUUUGAAUGCAAGUUGCGCCCGAAGCCACUAGGCCGAGGGCAUGCCUGCCUAUGUGUCA
rnacentral:rRNA from 1 species